GGAAGGACCCUCCAUAAAUAGGCGUAUGCCGCUUGGAGCGGCGAGCACACGGUAUUCUUUAGUAAAAGGCGAAAGAAUAGUUCGCUCUGUGCUCACCGCGCGGCUCCGUGAUUUUACCCUCCACUGGCUGGUUCCUUUUAUACCUCCUGGGAAUGCUCGAACACACAGAGAUUACCGAUGUGGGACAAUACUGCUCCAACACCCGUGAGUUUUAUUCCUUACAGAACGCCCCCGUAAUUUUGUCCCUUCUCGGUGUGCUCAAAUUCUCCCCCAGGCCACCCGCGAGUCCGACUCGUGGACGCCUCCGAUUCUCUGCUCUCAGCAUCCGCCGUAGGCUUCAUGAAGGGAGAGAAGAGAGAAAGGAAUUGAAACACUAAGAAAAAUAAUUUUAAGAAUACAUGUAUGUAAUCUACAAAAAUAAUACAGAAUUUGUCACGAAUUAAUUAAGGAAAUGGACUAAAUUGUAGUGGAAUCUUUAGAUUUUUAAUAUGGUUCUAUAAUUUGAAUCUAGUUUCCUUUUUUGGUUCAACGUGUUAGAACGGGAAUCCGGAACUCAUAUCUCUUCGUGCGUGAUGCAUUUUCAUCUACAACAUAUUAUACAAUUAAUUUGCGAUACACUAGCUAGUGCGUGAUGCAUUUUCAUGGCUGUGAACACGGCGCUUGCUUCAGUCUCGGAGGGUGUACAUGGACUCCACAACUUAUGAAAUGCUUAAGAAGUGAGAAACAGUAAGCUUUAGAAUUUGUCAGGAACUAGUCUGUGUGCUCUGGGAAUAUAGCUGAGAAGUAUGUAUUGAUCUUGAUUGGAAUGAUUCGCUCACUCAUUUGAUCUAACGAUUGGAGUUGGGUAGCUCAGAGUUGUGUAGUUUGUGUUCGGAUAUAGUGAACCAAGGAAUAUGUAAUAAAAACCCGAGUUUGUCAAA